GGGCUUGAAAGGUUUCGACGGGGUGUCUUAAGUUGAAGAAGCUAUCCGCAGGUGAUGCGUCAAAUCACAAAUUAAAAAUAAACGCUGAAGACAAUUUAGCAUACGCUGCCUAAGGGCAGCUGUCCUCCCUGAUGCACCUACACAUUAGGAACAGGGCAUCGGACUUGUAGGAAACGUGCAUGUUAAGCUUUGCGCAUGCAGCAGAUCCAUGAAGCUACUAAAACCGUAACGGUGUCUAUGACGGGACGGCAGAGGGAAUGUUAAUCCACAGACUAUGAUAGUAGAAGAGCGAUGGCGGAUAUUUCGGACGCGGGUUCAAAUCCCGCCAGGUCCACUU
rnacentral:tmRNA from 1 species